UGAAUAUUCAUGAAGAAAUGAAUGCCGGGCUCUUUCUUUCACUGCUAACCCCAAGAAGUUUCAACAUGCUGAAACUUUCCGUUUCGUCGAGCCCCGAGCUUGUGGUCCUCCUUUGAGUGUGGGUUCAAUUGAAUGAAUCUGUCAAGUCAAGGAAAACGUACGUAGCAGCAAGGAUGGUGCAUCGCCUAUUUAUCGUUCUCGCUCGGGAGCCAAAACGAACACGCCUGCUACCUACU
rnacentral:lncRNA from 1 species